rnacentral:rRNA from 1 species
AGUGAACGCUGGCGGUAGGCCUAACACAUGCAAGUCGAACGGCAGCACAGUAAGAGCUUGCUCUUACGGGUGGUGAGUGGCGGACGGGUGAGGAAUACAUCGGAAUCUACUUUUUCGUGGGGGAUAACGUAGGGAAACUUACGCUAAUACCGCAUACGACCUACGGGUGAAAGCAGGGGAUCUUCGGACCUUGCGCGAUUGAAUGAGCCGAUGUCGGAUUAGCUAGUUGGCGGGGUAAAGGCCCACCAAGGCGACGAUCCGUAGCUGGUCUGAGAGGAUGAUCAGCCACACUGGAACUGAGACACGGUCCAGACUCCUACGGGAGGCAGCAGUGGGGAAUAUUGGACAAUGGGCGCAAGCCUGAUCCAGCCAUACCGCGUGAGUGAAGAAGGCCUUCGGGUUGUAAAGCCCUUUUGUUGGGAAAGAAAAGCAGCAGGUUAAUACCCCGCUGUUCUGACGGUACCCAAAGAAUAAGCACCGGCUAACUUCGUG